rnacentral:rRNA from 1 species
GGGGGAUAUUGCGCAAUGGGGGCAACCCUGACGCAGCAACGCCGCGUGAAGGAUGAAGGUUUUCGGAUUGUAAACUUCUUUUAUUAAGGACGAAACUUGACGGUACUUAAUGAAUAAGCUCCGGCUAACUACGUGCCAGCAGCCGCGAUAAUACGUAGGGAGCAAGCGUUGUCCGGAUUUACUGGGUGUAAAGGGUGCGUAGGCGGCUUUGCAAGUCAGAUGUGAAAUCUAUGGGCUCAACCCAUAAACUGCAUUUGAAACUGUAGAGCUUGAGUGAAGUAGAGGCAGGCGGAAUUCCCCGUGUAGCGGUGAAAUGCGUAGAGAUGGGGAGGAACACCAGUGGCGAAGGCGGCCUGCUGGGCUUUAACUGACGCUGAGGCACGAAAGCGUGGGUAGCAAACAGGAUUAGAUACCCUGGUAGUCCACGCUGUAAACGAUGAUUACUAGGUGUGGGGGGUCUGACCCCUUCCGUGCCGGAGUUAACACAAUAAGUAAUCCACCUGGGGAGUACGGCCGCAAGGUUGAAACUCAAAGGAAUUGACGGGGGCCCGCACAAGCAGUGGAGUAUGUGGUUUAAUUCGAAGCAACGCGAAGAACCUUACCAGGUCUUGACAUCCAACUAACGAAGUAGAGAUACAUUAGGUGCCCUUCGGGGAAAGUUGAGACAGGUGGUGCAUGGUUGUCGUCAGCUCGUGUCGUGAGAUGUUGGGUUAAGUCCCGCAACGAGCGCAACCCUUGCUAUUAGUUGCUACGCAAGAGCACUCUAAUAGGACUGCCGUUGACAAAACGGAGGAAGGUGGGGACGACGUCAAAUCAUCAUGCCCCUUAUGACCUGGGCUACACACGUACUACAAUGGAUGUUAACAGAGGGAAGCAAGACAGCGAUGUGGAGCAAACCCCUAAAAACAUUCUCAGUUCAGAUUGCAGGCUGCAACCCGCCUGCAUGAAGAUGGAAUUGCUAGUAAUCGCGGAUCAGCAUGCCGCGGUGAAUACGUUCCCG